rnacentral:pre_miRNA from 1 species
GUUAUUCAAAGUUGUAUGGAGUUGGAACGUUUGCAUAAAUUUGCCGCUAGGGGCGCUGUUCCAACUGCAUACAAAUUCUAGUUA